AGUGAACGCUGGCGGUAGGCCUAACACAUGCAAGUCGAACGGCAGCGCAGUAAGAGCUUGCUCUUACGGGUGGCGAGUGGCGGACGGGUGAGGAAUACAUCGGAAUCUACUUUUUCGUGGGGGAUAACGUAGGGAAACUUACGCUAAUACCGCAUACGACCUACGGGUGAAAGCAGGGGAUCUUCGGACCUUGCGCGAUUGAAUGAGCCGAUGUCGGAUUAGCUAGUUGGCGGGGUAAAGGCCCACCAAGGCGACGAUCCGUAGCUGGUCUGAGAGGAUGAUCAGCCACACUGGAACUGAGACACGGUCCAGACUCCUACGGGAGGCAGCAGUGGGGAAUAUUGGACAAUGGGCGCAAGCCUGAUCCAGCCAUACCGCGUGGGUGAAGAAGGCCUUCGGGUCGUAAAGCCCUUUUGUUGGGAAAGAAAAGCAGCAGGUUAAUACCCCGCUGUUCUGACGGUACCCAAAGAAUAAGCACCGGCUAACUUCGUG
rnacentral:rRNA from 1 species